GGGGGGAGGCCGCGGCCGUUCGCCCCCCCGGUUUCUCGCUUCGGUUCAGUCAGCGCGUAGAGUGGAAGGGACGAGGUUCAGUUCCCGCCUCUCGCUUUCCCGUUUCGGACAGCCGCACACGUUGGGGGGGGACCGGGCACCACCAAGCUCCUACCUUCCUUCCUUCCUCCCCGCACACCUCAGCCUCCUCCAUCCAACAUCCAUCCAUCCAUCCAUCCCCGGGAUGAGCAGCACCGUGGCUAGCCCGAUGUCAACGGCUGCUUCUUCAAGCAGUGGAAGAGGGAUGGGAAAAUCAACAAGCUUUACACCUGAAUUGCAAAGUAUGAUAUGUGUGCUCCUUAGUUGAAAAUGGAAAAAACCUCUUGCCUGAUGUCGUAGAUCUGUGAGGUGGCUGUGGAGAAGCAACUAAGAAAAACUCAAAAUCCUUGUAGUGACACUGCUGUGCCAUAGCAUAGGCAGCAGCCAGAUGCCUCACGUUGACAUGGGAAGUGAAAAGCAUCAUCCCUGCACUGAUCACUUCUUCCCCUCAUGUGUUGGAUGCGACCUGCUGGCGUGAGUUGGGUCUCUUUGAGAUAAUGGACUUUGCUACUGACAAGUCUAGUUUGCAGUUGAUAAACGUUGGCCUUGAUUACUUUGUGGUAUGAUGUCGAAGCUGACUGACCUCAGUGAGCCAGGUAUAAAGGUAAGUAGCAGAGCUACUGUUCCCUCAUGCCAGGUUCCUCAGGAGGUUCCCUUAUGCUGGGCUCAGUUCUCCUCAGGAAAAAGAUUUCAGAGUGUUGGCUUUCAUAUGCAUUAGGUGCCUUGGAGUGCAGAGCACAUGCAGCCCCUGAUUCUACCUGAAACAGGUAAAUGAUCAUAGCAGCUAAGAAGUUAGCUGAGUAGAUGAUAUAGAU